rnacentral:lncRNA from 1 species
UUGAAAAACAAAAUUCGAAGAAACGAUAGCAAUAACAUGGAUUUGAAUAUUCAUAAAGAAAAAGCAUACGAUCCAAGAUGAAGGAGAACAGAUCUAACCGCUUAGAAAGAACUUACAGAGAAAUAAAAACUUUGUUAAAAUCCUAGCCGCAGAGAGCACGAGAGUAAAGACACGUUAGUAGGGUUUGUAUUAUUCCGACAAUUUAUAUAUGUGGUAGGGUUUCUGUGCGAUAGUCGACUUUACUGUUUUCAAUUUAGGUAAUUCAUCGAAUUUGUUAGCCUUUGGAGCACGGUUGUGUGACUUGUGUAAUUUCAAAAUUUUCUUUUCCUAUUUGUUCAUGCCACAAUUAAGGACAUAUUCGGCAAUAAUUAUGAGAAUUGAUUUUUUGA